rnacentral:lncRNA from 1 species
UUAGCAUGUAUUAAGAUUUCUAAGAUAUUUUAAAAAAAAUACAUAUACUCUUUAAAAAUAUUGAUUUUAUGAUUAUUCAAUUGAUUUGCAAGAAAGAAUUCAACCACCAUUUGGACAAAUCUAAAACUUAUUGCAAAAUGAAUUGGCUACUUUAAGAGAGUAUAUUAACGUGAACUUGGCUAAAAACUUUGUAUGCCAUUCAAAAUCUCUAACAAAAGCUUCAAUCUUAUUUGUGGAAAAAAAAUAGAUCUUACUUUGAUUUUAGAACUUCUUGACUAAGUCAAUGAAAUAAAGGUCUAUACAAAAAUAGAUCUAUAGAAAGCAUUCAACUUGAUCUACUUCAAAAAAAGAGAU